CCUACGGGGGGCAGCAGUGAGGAAUAUUGGUCAAUGGUCGGGAGACUGAACCAGCCAAGCCGCGUGAGGGAUGAAGGUACAGAGUAUCGUAAACCUCUUUUGUCAGGGAACAAAGGCGGGGACGUGUCCCCGGAUGAGUGUACCUGAAGAAAAAGCAUCGGCUAACUCAGUGCCAGCAGCCGCGGUAAUACGGAGGAUGCGAGCGUUAUCCGGAUUUAUUGGGUUUAAAGGGUGCGCAGGCGGUCUGUUAAGUCAGCGGUCAAAGCCCGGGGCUCAACCCCGGCCCGCCGUUGAAACUGGCAGUCGCGAGUUGGAGAGAAGUAUGCGGAAUGCGCGGUGUAGCGGUGAAAUGCAUAGAUAUCGCGCAGAACUCCGAUUGCGAAGGCAGCAUGCCGGCUCCACACUGACGCUGAGGCACGAAAGCGUGGGUAUCGAACAGGAUUAGAUACUCCUGUAGUC
rnacentral:rRNA from 1 species